UGGGGAAUAUUGGACAAUGGGCGGAAGCCUGAUCCAGCCAUGCCGCGUGUGUGAAGAAGGCCUUUUGGUUGUAAAGCACUUUAAGCGAGGAGGAGGCUACUUGGAUUAAUACUCUAGGAUAGUGGACGUUACUCGCAGAAUAAGCACCGGCUAACUCUGUGCCAGCAGCCGCGGUAAUACAGAGGGUGCGAGCGUUAAUCGGAUUUACUGGGCGUAAAGCGUGCGUAGGCGGCUUCUUAAGUCGGAUGUGAAAUCCCUGAGCUUAACUUAGGAAUUGCAUUAGAUACUGGGAAGCUAGAGUAUGGGAGAGGAUGGUAGAAUUCCAGGUGUAGCGGUGAAAUGCGUAGAGAUCUGGAGGAAUACCGAUGGCGAAGGCAGCCAUCUGGCAUAAUACUGACGCUGAGGUACGAAAGCAUGGGGAGAAAACAGG
rnacentral:rRNA from 1 species